GCAGCCGCUUGGGAGCUGGGAAUGUGUCAGUGGCCGUCUUCUGUGUCAGUGGCCACCGCUUCUCCCCUGACAUGUCCAGACAUGUGAGGAGCUCUGUAGGCCAGAUGUGAUAGCUCCAGUGAGGGAUUUAGGCAUGAGCUAAUGCUCUGUUGUGCACAAUUUUUGUGAAAGCUGAGAGCAAGUCUUCCAAAGGAAAAAGAUUCAUCAAACAGGAAGUCACAGUAUUUCUACAGAGGGGGUUCCCAAGGGUGCAGGGCUCCACAGCUGCUGACAGUCAGAGGCUUGCGAGUAUCUUUAGAGAUGCCCUCUGCCAGAACUCUGUAAGUGACACAGUUGACAACGCUGACAGCUGCUCGAAUAUUUUUUACUAUAAAUAUUUGUCUAAUCCAUUUUUAUAGUUGUGGGGGGAAAAGAACUGUUGUGGUUGAACUCUUCGUUAAUUAGGGUUUACUAGAUGAGUCAAUGGAGUUUGCUAAUUAAUUUAGCAACUGCUAAUCUGCUAAAAAUAGAGAUGGAUUUUUAAUUGGCUUUAAUAUUGGGUGUGUUUUUUUAACAAUUUCAUCGUGGACCUGAAACUAUUCUCAUGUCAGUGACAAAGGAAUUCAGAUGUCAGUGGAGACAAGGGAGACAGUAUUUUGGUGGCUGACACUGCUUUUAGGAUGUAACACGCAAUGAUGUUAAGUGUCUUUAAAAUACAUUUAUGUUCUUCUAAGUAGAAACUGUUGAAAUUGUAGAGAAAAAAGGUCAAAAUUACUUCUUUCCUGAUUCUAUAGGUCACUUGUCUAUUUAUUGACAAGGAUUACAGUAAAAACCUCUUGUACUUUGCAUGACA